rnacentral:rRNA from 1 species
CGCGUAGGUGGCCAAUUAAGUCAAAUGUGAAAUCCCCGAGCUUAACUUGGGAAUUGCAUUCGAUACUGGUUGGCUAGAGUAUGGGAGAGGAUGGUAGAAUUCCAGGUGUAGCGGUGAAAUGCGUAGAGAUCUGGAGGAAUACCGAUGGCGAAGGCAGCCAUCUGGCCUAAUACUGACACUGAGGUGCGAAAGCAUGGGGGAGCAAACA